rnacentral:rRNA from 1 species
GACGAACGCUGGCGGCGUGCUUAACACAUGCAAGUCGAACGGUGAAGGGAUCAGCUUGCUGGUUCUGGAUGAGUGGCGAACGGGUGAGUAACACGUGAGUAACCUGCCCCCUUCUUCUGGAUAACCGCAUGAAAGUGUGGCUAAUACGGGAUAUUCUGGGUCUGUCGCAUGAUGGGUCUGGGAAAGAUAUUGUUUCGGUGGGGGAUGGGCUCGCGGCCUUUCGGCUUGUGGGUGGGGUGAUGGCCUCCCAAGGCGGUGAAGGGUAGCCGGGCGGAGAGGGUGGACGGUUAGACUGGGACUGAGACACAGCCUAGACUCGUACGGGAGGCAGCAGUAGGGUAUAUUGCAGGAGGGGCGCAAGCCUGAUGCAGCGACGCCGCGUGAGGGAGGGAGGCCUUCGGGUUGUAAACCUCUUUCGCCAGUGAAGCAGGCCUGCUCCUUGUGGGUGGGUUGACGGUAGCUGGAUAAGAAGCGCCGGCUAACUACGUG